GACGAACGCUGGCGGCGUGCCUAAUACAUGCAAGUAGAACGCUGAAGGAGGAGCUUGCUUCUCUGGAUGAGUUGCGAACGGGUGAGUAACGCGUAGGUAACCUGCCUGGUAGCGGGGGAUAACUAUUGGAAACGAUAGCUAAUACCGCAUAAUAGCAGUUGUUGCAUGAUAACUGUUUGAAAGGUGCAAUUGCACCACUACCAGAUGGACCUGCGUUGUAUUAGCUAGUUGGUGGGGUAACGGCUCACCAAGGCGACGAUACAUAGCCGACCUGAGAGGGUGAUCGGCCACCCUGGGACUGAGACACGGCCCAGACUCCUACGGGAGGCAGCAGUAGGGAAUCUUCGGCAAUGGACGGAAGUCUGACCGAGCAACGCCGCGUGAGUGAAGAAGGUUUUCGGAUCGUAAAGCUCUGUUGUAAGAGGAGAACGAGUGUGAGAGUGGAAAGUUCACACUGUGACGGUAUCUUACCAGAAAGGGACGGCUAACUACGUG
rnacentral:rRNA from 1 species